rnacentral:sRNA from 1 species
UUAAUACCUAGGUUUGACGUCAGACAUAC